UAAAUUUGCUACUAGCUUGUUUAAAAUAAAGUUUUUUCCAACUUAAAAAAAGAUAAAUGCCAUGUUUUCACACGAGCUCCACUUUUCGGUUCGUUUUGUUUUGAAGCAAUCUGUGACCGUUACCACAGAUGAUAGAUAAUACCAGAUGUAUCACUCUAUACCUAUUCCUAUGAUUUUCGUGUCCGCGAUUUUCGCGAGGCUAUCACGCCAGAUGACGCGUGCGACACUUACUGCCAAAAUAGCGCUUACUGCCAAAAUGCGUGAUUGCUCACGUUUCAUGGCGUGCCGGAUUACACUUACUGCCAAUAUGGCGGCCAACGCGUGCUCAUUAAAACAACACGGACACAAUUUUGGCUGAGUGAGACAUCUGGUAUUAUAUAUCAUCUGUGCCGUUACUAGGCGACUGCUUUAAGCUGAUUGGUUGAUUUUGGAUUCCAUUGCUUUUUCUACCAAUCAGAUCAGUUCGUCACAGAUUUUUGCACUGUUGUUACACAUUUUCGUACUGUCGUUACAGAAUCUUGCACUGCUGAUUGAGAUUAACUGCACUGAAAUCAACCAAUCACAGUCGAGUAAUAUUUUUAUGUAUAUUAUUAGUGAAAUAGAUAAUCUUUUUCCAAAUGAUUGUUUGCAGGUAUUUAUGGAACUAAAUGAACACAAUCAUGGUGAAGUAUCGGUAUUUUACUGCGGAAACCCUGCUCUUGGAACAACGCUGAGACGACAGUGUGAGAAAUACAAAUUUGAAUUUCGUUCUGAGAAAUUCUAGGAACUGAGUUGCAGAGAUAUUGGCUGGGGCAACAUUGGAAGGAACAGUAUAUCAAUGCUGUAUUUUUUUAAUAAAAGUAUCUCAUCUGUGAAUUUUUAACAUUUUAAUGGUUUAACAUCAAGCACAUCUAACUGGCAUUUAUAACUAUAGGAGUAACUACAGGUUAAAGUACCAUCAAUGUCUAUACUGCAGUUACUGGUGUACAACUGUGCACAUGCAAUGACUUAUAGAAUUUUCUAGCUUGGUCUUGUAAUAGUAUGUAAUGUUGAAUACAUUGUAAGACAGUUUGUAAGAUCAUGCCGUUUUUUUAUAUUUUAAAGUCUG